UGCAAUGGACAUGUCCAUGGCACACACCCUUGGGGAUUCCUUUGCAAGCAUUAGUCUUACUAUGACCAAUAGUUUUACUCUUUUGUUUAUAUUUCAUACCUUGUGACUUUCUUUAUUGACAGUUUCCUAAACAUACGUUGUACUGCACAUAUUGAUAGACACACUUCCAAGUGACCCUUUACUAAUUAAUCCUAUAUCCUUAAGGAACUGAAAAAAGCACACUUCUAAUUUUAGUCUAAAAACUAAAAUCAAUGAUUAUAUUUUUCUUUAUAUAUCUUGCAUUUUAUUGUAAUUCAUGGACAAACCAUAACAUUAAUGUGUGGAUCCUUGUGGAGACAUCUUUUCAUUGUACAACUCUUUUUUUUUUGUUCUUUGGAAUAUAGGUAGUGUGUUAAUUUUUAAUUUUUAGGCAUCUUUAAGGAAUUUUAGAAUAUAGUUAUCUUGUGAAUAAAGGUAAAUAUGUCAAUCUUUAUUUUUUAUUUUUUUAAUUCACCUCUCUUUAAACAUGAAUUGAAUAACUUUACAUGGGUGAGCUACAUAAACAAUCUUUUUUAAUUUUUAAGGCAUCCUAUAAUAUAACUAUUUUGUGAAAAGGUAAAACUAUCAAUUUUUAUUUUUAUUUUUUUUAAUUAACCUCUUUUACUUUAUAUUACCCUAAUGUUAUUAAUAACCUCUUUGAAGCAAGAGCCUAAUGAAGAAGACUUUGAUGGGCAAUGAUGCCAAUGACAAGCUUGCGAAGGAAAUUGGCUUACAAGAAGAAAAGAAAUCAUUACAAUGAAGCGAUGUUGAAAAUCAUGAAGAUGAUAUCAUUUAAAUCAUUAGGGGGUUUAGCUAGGCUUUUAUUGAUAAUGGUUUCUUUUUGUAGUCAUUGCACUGAUAUUUGUUCUUAUAUUGGAUUUAAAAAUUCUCAUUGAAAUAUUUUGAUCUAAUGAACAAAUUUAUAAUUUGUAUAUAAGUAAUUAUACUAAUUAUUCAAA